AUUGAACGCUGGCGGCAGGCCUAACACAUGCAAGUCGAGCGGAGCGGCGGAAGGGUGAGUAUUGCCUAGGAAUCUGACUGGUCGUGGGGGAUAACGACAGGAAAUGGGCGCUGAUACCGCAUCCUCUCAGAUUCGCCUAGGCCGGAUUAGCUAGUUCGUGGAGUAAAGGACUCCCAAGGCGAAGAUCCGUACCUGGUCUGAGAGGAUGAUAAGUCACACUGGAACGGAGACACGGUCCAGACGUCUACGUGAGGCAGAAGUGGGGAAUAUUGGACAAGGGGCGAAAGCCUGAUCCAGCCAUGCCGCGUGUAGGAAGAAGGUCUUCGGAUUGUAAAGCCCUUGAAGUUGGGAGGCGUUACUACCAGAAUAAGCACCGGCUAACUUCGUGCCAGUAGCCGCGGUAAUAC
rnacentral:rRNA from 1 species